UGAUGGCGCGAUGAUCGAUUCCAACAACGCCCAAGUUUACGUUUACGAGAUCAGUGUAACAGAUAUAGAAAUGGACGUUGUAUGCCCAUCUAAUGCAAAUAAAUGUACGAAGAAAAUAAAUUCCGCGUUAGAAAAAGAAUAGACAUUCUAUUUGGCAGUAACCGUACAUCCUUCCAAACGUGAGCCGUAUUCGUGUUUUUCAUAAUCUUAUGAAAGAAAAUGAACCAGAAGCUAAUCUGAUAAGUAGCAGUCAAAGGAUAAACGUACACGUAUACAGGAUAUCAUCACAAGCGCAUGCUUUUCAAUUUCAAUACACGCGAAUAAUAUAACGAAUAGAAUCGCGAAUGGACAGACGUUCGGUCGUCGGAGAAAAUUUACAUACGUUUAUCUGUAAUGAAUCACGUUUAUAAACUCAACCGUACAGAAUGUAAUUAAGAAUGUAAAUUAAUAUUGUGCACGAGACGAGAUUAAUGUACCAUCCUCGCUAAGAAAUGUUUGCAACGCUCAUUUCAAUUGUAUAUCCUUUUUAACCGGUCGACUUAAUACCAUAAUAUAUAGUUUGGCAAAAAAUUUGUUUAACUCUUGGAACACCACCCAAAUAUUUAAAAAAUAACAAUUGAUAUCAAAUCACUUCCAGAUAUUUCAGCGUUAUUGACACUUGAUAAAAAGUUGAACUCGAGUUAGAUUGCACAUUGCGAAUGAAAAUGUUGAAUGAUUUCACGAGAUUCGUAAGGGUGGAGUGUCUACCCUCUAAAACAGUCUACUUUAGAAGCAGCCGGCGCAAUGCUCUACUGCUUUAGGUUUCGACCGGUACUCUGCGGUGCUGCCGCAGGGUGGUCAAGACCCGAAAUUGUUGCAGGUUCCUUAGGUAAAGAGCCACGUGCAGCGCAGGACUUUCGAAAUCUAACUUCGUUUCUAACAGCACCGUCAAACUUUAACCCGUAACUGUUCUUCGCAGCAACUAAAAGUCCAACGGAUUACUAAUUCAGUUGGAUACAUGAAUGUAACUACUAACAGGAUGUUAGUCAAUAAAUAAAAUCAUAAGAUCUGGUUUAGUAUAAAAUUA